UCUAGUUAUUAUAGCGAAGAGGAUACACCUGUUCCCAUGCCGAACACAGAAGUUAAGCUCUUUAGCGCCGAUGGUACUUGGUGGGAAGCUGCCUGGGAGAGUAGGACAUAGCUAGGU
rnacentral:rRNA from 1 species